UACGGAGACUGCAAGCGUUGUUCGGAUUCAUUGGGCGUAAAGGGUCCGUAGGCGGUCGGCCAAGUCGGAUGUGAAAUUCUCGAGCCUAACUCGGGACGGUCAUUCGAAACUGGUCGACUCGAGGACUGGAGAGGAGACUGGAAUUGUCGGUGUAGCGGUGAAAUGCGUAGAGAUCGACAAGAACACCCGUGGCGAAGGCGGGUCUCUGGACAGUUCCUGACGCUGAGGGACGAAAGCUAGGGGAGCGAACGGGAUUAGAUACCCCGGUAGUCCUAGCCGUAAACGGUGUUCACUUGGUGUGGGGGGAGUCGACCCCCUCCGUGCCGGAGCUAACGCGUUAAGUGAACCGCCUGGGGAGUACGGCCGCAAGGCUAAAACUCAAAGAAAUUGACGGGGGCCCGCACAAGCGGUGGAGCAUGUGGCUUAAUUCGAUGCAACGCGAAGAACCUUACCUGGCCUUGACAUCUAUCAUGAAAAUCGGUGAAAGCCGGUGACGGCCCGAAAGGGUGCAGGGGAUAGACAGGUGCUGCAUGGCUGUCGUCAGCUCGUGUCGUGAGAUGUUGGCUUAAGUGCCGCAACGAGCGCAACCCCUGUGGCUAGUUGCUCCGACGUCAGUCGGAGGGCUCUAGUCAGACUGCCUCGAUUCUAUCGCGGAGGAAGGUGGGGAUGACGUCAAGUCAGUAUGGCCCUUACGGCCAGGGCUGCACACGUGCUACAAUGCCCGGCACAGAGGGAUGCAAGACCGCGAGGUGGAGCAAAUCCCUGAAAACCGGGCUUAGUUCGGAUUGCAGGCUGCAACUCGCCUGCAUGAAGCCGGAAUCGCUAGUAAUGGCGUAUCAGCUACGACGCCGUGAAUACGUUCCCGGGCCU
rnacentral:rRNA from 1 species